ensembl:lncRNA
GAAGUAAAAUAAAUUUGAAAAUGUCAUAUUGAUGACUGAUAAUGGUUUAAUUUAAUUAUAAACCUUUUUAUGAAACUUAAUUUUUGAUUCCUAUUUUUGAAUGAAGUAUUGAUGCAGCGCAAGAAGAUGACAGUCUUGGAAGACUAGUCAAUGAUGACCACAUCUAUCCAAACUGCAAAAUGAAGAGGGUCAUAGCAGAGGGCAAGCCACAUCUUUGUCUUUUUGCUCUGAGAGACAUUAAGGCUGGAGAAGAAAUAACGUAUGACUAUGGAGGAUCUGAUUGGCCUUGGAGAAAACAGGUUUGUAACUCUUGAAUUGUGUGAUGUAGAUUAGUGAAUGUGCAUAUUUGCUUUCAUGAGGAGAUCGGUGAAGGAUUUGUGUUUCUUUUGUGAGAUUUAUUCUGCUACUGGUUUUUUAAUCUGAGUUUUUUUAAAUCAAAUGACAGUGAUUGCUAAUGCUAAUAAGUUUGAAGGGACAAAUACAGGAAAAAAGCCUUUUCUUCAGUACAGGGACAAUAUACUUAAGCUAAAUAACCAGAAGUGUGUUCUGCCACUCUUCAGCUUUCCUUAUUCUUAAUUACAGUAGUAUAUUAGCAGACAUCUGUGCUAAAUUGAAAAUUUAAUAAUCAAAUAUAACUGACUUUUAGUUGUAUACAGAGACUAUUUAAGUUGCAUCAUCAAUUGCAUGUUUCCUGUAUACAUGUACUUCAUAUUGUGACUGAUUCAUACAAGUGUUAAUGCUGAUAUGCUAAAUACAGAUAUUGAAUUCAUUUGUCAGGCUAAAGUGCAAGAAACUGCAUCUGAUACACUGUCAUCAGAGGAGGUUCCCCAGAGUCCUUCCCCCUCCAAGAUGCAGGCUAAAGUGCAAAAUACUGCAGCUGAUACACUGUCAUCAGAGGAGGUUCCUCAGAGCCCUUCGUUCUCCGAGAUGCAGGCUAAAACACAAGAAACUAGCGCUGAUACACUGUCAUCAGAAGAGGUUCCUCAGAGCCCUUCCCUCUCCGAGAUGCAGGCUAAAACACAAGAAACUAGCGCUGAUACACUGUCAUCAGAAGAGGUUCCUCAGAGCCCUUCCCUCUCCGAGAUGCAGGCUAAAACACAAGAAACGGGCGCUGAUACACUGUCAUCAGAGGAGGUACCUCAGAGCCCUUCCCUCUCCCAUAUGCAGAGUUUACAAGAAGCAGGAGUCUUUCAUUCAAUGAAAACUAUAAAAUCAGAACCGCUUGUGAACUACACUGAUUCUGAUGAUGAGAGUCCAUCCAUAAGUCCUGACCAAUUGAAGUCAACAUGCCAGAUGACAAGACAACUAGAUUUGGAUGAGCACUUUGACUUUACAUCCGAUCCUAGUGGUGAGGAAUAUAUUCCUGGGACAAGUGAAGAGUCUUCUGAUAGUACAGACACAAGCAUAGCUCUCACGCCAGUUAAACAGGCAAAGAUAUUAAAACUUUGCAACCUAAAAAUGGAUGGUAACAAAGGUGAUUCACCAAAAAAUCUAAAUAAGUCCAUGAAGCAAAAGCACAACAGAGGGCGCCCACAAAAAAAAGGAAGCAACUUGGGUAGGAAACGUAAACUUCAUUCUUCAGACAGUCCUUCAACCAGUUGCUCAUCGAAAAGUAGAGGGGCAGACAAUCUAAACUCACUAAGUGAACUCAAGGACAGCCUACCUGUUUGUACCUCUUCCCCCUCUAAACAUGAAGUGAUUGAUGAUUCUGUCUUCAUACCUGGUGUAUGCAAGAAGGAAGAUGGGUCAAGAUUGUACAACAAAAAACAAUACUGUUUGUAUUGCAAGUCUGGAUAUAUAAAAAUGGCAAGGCAUUGGGAACGUGCUCAUCACAAUAAACCAGAUGUUGCACUGGCUUUGUCCUUCCCUAAAGGCUCCAAAGAAAGACGGCUACAUCUAGAGCAUGUAAGAAACAGAGGAAACUUUGCACACAAUGUUGAAGUAUUGAAUACUGGGACUGGAAAGCUUGUUUCUCGAAAACAACCAAAAAAGGACUGUUCAGGAAAAGAUUUCUUGCAUUGUGUAUAUUGUCAUGGCCUUUUCACCAAGAAAGUCCUGUGGCGACACAGGAAGAUCUGCAAGUUCAACACUGGUGUUGAACAAAAACUUGGUAAAACCCGUAUUCAGGCACUCUGUGCACUUGCUGUAAAACCGCCACCUGGUGUCAGAGAAGAGGUUUGGAAGUUGUUGAACAAGAUGGUCCAAGAUGAAGUAUAUCAUGCUGUUAAAGCUGACUCUAUGAUCAUGGAGUUUGGUGAGCAUCUUUGCAACAGAUUCGGACAUGAUGUUGCCAAACAUGAAUAUAUUCGCCAGAAAAUGAGAGAGCUCGGAAGGCUUCUAAUAUGCUCAAAGAAAAUCACUUCAUUGAAAACAAUUCAAGAACACGUCAAGCCCUCAAAUUUCAUGCAUGUCAUUAGGUCAGUAAAACAUCUAGCGGGUCAUGAUGGUGAAACCAAUACAUACAAGUGCCCAAGUCUUGCCCUCAAAAUUGGAUACACUUUAUCAAAAAUUUCAAUGCUUGUUGAAAGUCAAGCUAACGUACAGGGCAACAAGAGUGCAGCAAAAGAAGCUUGUGCUUUUCGACAAAUCUAUGAAAGCAGAUGGCAUGAAAUGAUAUCGGCUGCAUCCCUGAGAACAUUGCAGGAGUCUAAGUGGAAUUCUCCUCUUUUGCUCCCGUUUACAAAAGACGUCCAGACUCUCCAUUCUUAUUUAGAUCAGAAGCAAAAACAAUACUUGGAUGAGUUGUCCAAAGAAAGCUCCUCUCAGAUGUGGACACAGCUCACCAAGGUAACUCUGACGCAAGUCAUUCUGUUCAACCGGCGAAGAGCAGGGGAGGUGUCUCACAUGUCCUUAUCAGCAUAUUUGUGCAAAAAUCGAUCAAACCCUCAAGAAGAUAUGAAUGAGGCCCUCUCUGAUCUAGAGAAGAAGCUAUGUCAACAUUUCAGGAGAAUAGAAAUAAGAGGGAAAAGAGGAAGAAAAGUGCCUGUGCUUCUCACCCCAGCAAUGCAGACAACAAUAGAUCUGCUUGUCAGCAAGCGCAAAGAUUGUGGAGUUCUGCAGGAAAACCCUUACUUGUUUGCAAGACCAUGUGCAAUGACCUGUUACCGUGGGUCAGAUUGCCUUCGACAUUUUGCCAAGGUCUGUGGUGCAAAAACACCAGAAACUCUCACUUCUACAAAACUGCGUAAACAAACAGCAACCCUAUCUCAAGUUCUAAACCUCAGCAAUACAGAACUAGAUCAGUUAGCUGGUUUUCUUGGACAUGACAUACGAAUACACAGGCAGUUCUACAGACUUCCUGAGGGCACCCUCCAGCUUGCCAAAAUUAGCAAAGUCCUUUUGGCUCUGGAACAGGGACGCAUGACAGAAUUCAAGGGCAAAAGCCUUGAUGACAUCAUCAUUAAUCCAGAGGGUACUGUCUUUAGAUUUUUUUAA